GCCAAAAUCAAUAGCCAGAUGCUUGCCUGACCCCCAGAUUAUUUUGAAGCAAACCCUUGGCAUUAUAUCAUUUCAUCUGUGAAUACUGUAUGUAUUCUAAAAGUUAAGGACAGUUAAAAACUAAUCAGCCCCCUUUAUUAGGAUGCCCUUUCUUCUCUUUGUUUAACUUAACCUUUGAGCCUCAGAUCAUGGGUUACCUCUUCUUGGAAGUCUUCUUUGACCUCUAGCCCAAGUUAGGGAGUCUUUCUAUCUGUCUGCUUCAGAAAAUGCAUUUUUUUAAAAAGAUUUAUUUAUUUGAGAAAGAGAGAGAGAAGGGGAGGGGCAGAGAGAGAGGAUCCCAAGCAGGCUCCACAGCAUCAGUGCAGAGCCCACGUGGGCCUCAAUCUCACAAUGGUGAGAUCGUGACCUCAGCUGAAAUCAAGAGCCAGAUGCUUAACAGACUGAGCCACCCAGGUGCCCCAGAAAAUGCAUCUUGAUAGACUCACUGUUCCACCUUGUCCUCUUUCACCUAUUGAUCUGUCUGAGAUAAACCAAAGUCUUGGCCAGUGCUCACACAGGUGGCUUCCCAAGUUGUGUGGGGUUGUGUUAGAGGAAAUGCAUCUGGGGCUGGUGUUCACAGCUGGAGAGGAGGGCCGCAGAGGCAAGGCUGGCCGUGCUGGGAAGCUCAUCUCAAGUUGCUGCUGAGGGCACAGAGCUGGUACUGGAACGGGUGGAAACGCUGUGAGUGCCACACAUGGCUGUCCCUUCUCUAGUCCCUGCCCAGACCCAAGCUUUUCUUUAGUCUGACAAGGAUGGAGGUUUUUUCCCCUUUGGGCAAUCUGCCCCAUAUUGUACAGGGGAAGGCACAAAGAAGCCAAUUGAUUUAUAGACUCCUUUUAGGGAAAACAAAACAAAGGAAAACAAAACAAAAGAAACCCCAAUGUAACUGAGGCUAUUUUUCCAUCUGACCUUGGGUUUUGCCUUCCUUGGAAAUAGUGCCUCUUGUAUGGAUUCACAGCUUUAGAAAUUCUGCCUGACCUUGAGGGGUCCGUCUUUAGACAGGUCGGUGAGUAAUGCUCAUUGAAGCUGUUUUUAUUUUUUUCUAUUCUAGAACUAGCCCACUUCUUCCUCUCAGACAAUGUAAUGGCUCCCCAGGCUCAGGAGCUGGCAGGUGGCCUAAGAAAAUAUAUUGAUGUUCCAUUUGGAAACAGACCUUUUAAUUUUGUCCUUAUUCUUGCCCCUCCUCUGACUCCUCUAACUGCCCCCAAUCUGUUAUUUGAGAAGUAGGACAAAGAAAUGCAAGAGGAAGGUCUUGACUUGCUGGUGAUCACACCAGCUCCCAACGAACAAGAGGGCAUCCCCGUAUGCUUGGUCUGGACCUCUUGAAUAUGUUGUCUGCCAGUCUAACUCCUAUUUUAUGUUCAGGUCUGAAAAGAAAAAUAAAUGAACAUAUCGUUAUGGGAGCA
rnacentral:lncRNA from 1 species